GCCUACGGCCAUGCCACCCUGAGAACAGCUGAUCUCAUCUGAUCUUGGAAGCUAAGCAGGCUUGGGUCUGGUUAGUACUUGGAUGGGAGACCGCCUGGGAACACCAGGUGCUGUAGGCU
rfam:Caprimulgus carolinensis contig13215, whole genome shotgun sequence.